CUCUCAUUAAAUACAGAGCGAGCUAUUGUCAUUGUCUCAUGCUUCCCUGUUAAUUGGACAUACUGGGCAGUGUUGUUGGAGCAUUAAACCUUGUUACCAUUUAGGGACCUUCAUGUUUCCCUGUCAUUUGACUUUCAGAUGUGUGCGUUUUCUUCUGACUGACAGGUCAACCACCCUACCAGGGACUGACUGUUAAAUGAAAAGAGCAAUCUGUCAAAGAAGUUUUGUUUUUAACAGUGUGUAGGAAGAGAUGAUUUAGGUUACCUAGGACUAAACAUUAAUACAUGAUCUUAUAAGGUCACUGCUCAUUUCUACCCGACCACCUCCCAUCCCAGGUCUGCAGCACAGAUAUCUUCGUUUUGUCCACGGAUUCCUUUCAAGUGCUUAGAACGUGCUAGAGAAAUACUUUUGGCAUGUGUGAGUGGGUGAAUCAAUCAGUCAGUUGAUCAGUCGGUGAUUUAUCCAUCUCCCUCACUUCAGGUGUGUGAACCUUUGAGUACCGAGGGCCACUCGGCCCUCGCCUGCAGCGGGGCUGUGGUUGUGGGAGAAGGACGCUCUGCUGUGCUGGGGCCUUGCCUGGUCACCCACGUGGGACGUGCGCGAGACACCUUCCGCGGCACAACCUAGGCGAAGUGCCCAAUCUGAUGCUGUGCCAGUUCUGAAGAAACCAGCAGCAGCAGAAGCUCUUCCUUGAACAAGGCACUGGUCAUGCCUCAAUUAGGACCCAUGUUCCUGCUCCCAGUACUUCUGCCCUCACAUCUCCUGAUAGGACAUGGUACCAGUAGGGCAGGACACCAGCCCUGAGGAGAAGAGCCCAGGACUCUUCACAUGGAAUGAGUGCCUUUUCUAUACUGCCAGGAACAUGAGGACAGCCCAACAAUGGCCGUACAGGUAGGUUCACCUCUCAGGUAGGUGCUCAUAGGGGACAGAAGAAGGUGCCUAGACAACACCACUUUGCUCCCUGUACUUUCAUUCAUGCCUCUUUUGUGCCCAGGCAUUAAGCUAAUA